CACUGGGACUGAGACACUUGCCCAGACUCCUACGGGAGGCUGCAGUCGAGGAUCAUUCGCAAUGCGCGAAAGCGUGACGAUGCGACGCUGCGUGUAGGAUGACGGCCUUCGGGUUGUAAACUACUGUCAUAAGGGAGAAGCCGGUACACGGCCAAUACCCGUGUACCCCGAUGUUACCUUAAGAGGAAGCCACGGCUAACUCUGUGCCAGCAGCCGCGGUAAUACAGAGGUGGCGAGCGUUGUUCGGAUUUACUGGGCGUAAAGGGUGUGUAGGUUGUCAUGUAUGUCGGAUGUGAAAUUCCGGGGCUCAACCCCGGGGCUGCAUUCGAAACUGCAUGGCUAGAGUGCGGAAGAGGCAGGCGGAAUUCUUGGUGUAGCGGUGAAAUGCGUUGAUAUCAAGAAGAACACCGGAUGCGAAGGCGGCCUGCUGGUACGUUACUGACACUCAUACACGAAAGCUGGGGGAGCAAACAGGUUUAGAUACCCUGGUAGUCCCAGCUGUAAACGGUGUGCACUCGAUGUUGUCGGAAUUGUCCCCGCCAGUGUCCAAGCAAACGCGUUAAGUGCACCGCCUGGGGAGUACGGUCGCAAGAUUAAAACUCAAAGAAAUUGACGGGGACCCGCACAAGCGGAGGAGCAUGUGGCUUAAUUCGAUGCAACGCGAAGAACCUUACCUGGACUUGACAUAUAACUGCACGUCCCGUGAAAGCGGGAUUCCUUCGAGGGUGUUGUACAGGUGCUGCAUGGCUGUCGUCAGUUCGUGCCGUGAGGUGUUAGGUUAAGUCCUGCAACGAACGCAACCCCUGUGUUUAGUUGCCAUCAGGUAAUGCUGGGCACUCUAGACAGACCGCCCGUGCAAUCGGGAGGAAGGUGGGGACGACGUCAAGUCAGUAUGCCUUUACGUCCAGGGCCGCACACGUGCUACAAUGACCGGUACAGAGGGCGGCGAUACCGCGAGGUGGAGCUAAUCCC
rnacentral:rRNA from 1 species